GAUGAACGCUGGCGGCGUGCUUAACACAUGCAAGUCGAACGGAAAGGCGAUGCUUUUGUGGGGUGCACGAGUGGGGAACGGGUGAGUAACACGUGAGUAAACUGCCCUUGACUUUGGGAUAACUUCUGGAAAAUGGGGCUAAUACCGGAGAGGAGAUCCUGAUGCACGGGGGGGGAUGGAAAGUGUCGGCGGUUGGGGAUGGACUCGCGGCUUAUCAGCUUGUUGGUCGAGUAGUGGCUUACAAAGGCUUCGACGGGUAGCCGGCCUGAGAGGGUGACCGGCCACAUUGGGACUGAGAUACGGCCCAGACUCCUACGUGAGGCAGCAGUGGGGAACAUUGCACAGUGGGCGGACGCCUGUUGCAGCAACGCCGCGUGCGGGAUGACGGCCUUCGGGUUGUAAACCGCUUUCGCCUGUGAUGAAGCGUGAGUGACGGUAAUUAGUAAAGAAGCACCGGCUAACUACGUG
rnacentral:rRNA from 1 species